rnacentral:rRNA from 1 species
GACGAACGCUGGCGGCGUGCUUAACACAUGCAAGUCGAACGAUGAAGCCGGAGCUUGCUCCGGUGGAUUAGUGGCGAACGGGUGAGUAACACGUGAGCAAUCUGCCCUUGACUCUGGGAUAACUGCGGGAAACUGUAGCUAAUACCGGAUACGACACCUUGGGGCAUCCCAGGGUGUGGAAAGAAUUUCGGUCAAGGAUGAGCUCGCGGCCUAUCAGCUAGAUGGUGAGGUAAUGGCUCACCAAGGCGACGACGGGUAGCCGGCCUGGGAGGGUGACCGGCCACACUGUAACGGAGACACGGUCCAGACUCCUACGGGAGGCAGCAGUGGGGAAGAUUGCACAAUGGGCGAAAGCCUGAUGCAGCAACGCCGCGUGAGGGAUGAAGGCCUUCGGGUUGUAAACCCCUUUUAGUAGGGAAGAAGCGAAAGUGACGGUACCUGCAGAAAAAGCACCGGCCAACUACGUGCCAGCCGCCGCGGUAA